CCUACGGGAGGCAGCAGUGGGGAAUAUUGCACAAUGGGGGAAACCCUGCUGCAGCGACGCCGCGUGAGUGCAGAAGUAUUUCGGUAUGUACAGCUCUAUCAGCAGGGAAGAAAAUGACGGUACCUGAUUAAGAAGCACCGGCUAACUCCGUGCCAGCAGCCGCGGUAAUACGUAGGGGGCAAGCGUUAUCCGGAGUUACUGGGUGUAAAGGGCGCGUAGACGGCAGCACAAUUCUGGAGUGAAAUGCCGGGGCUUAACCCCGGAACUGCUUUGGAAACUGUGCAGCUAGAGUGCAGGAGAGGUAAGUGGAAUUCCUAGUGUAGCGGUGAAAUGCGUAGAUAUUAGGAGGAACACCAGUGGCGAAGGCGGCUUACUGGACUGUAACUGACGUUGAGGCUCGAAAGCGUGGGGAGCAAACAGGAUUAGAUACCCUAGUAGUC
rnacentral:rRNA from 1 species